AUUAUAUGAUAUUUAUGUCAUUUUUAUAAUGGUACUUUAAUUAUCCUUUAUGUUAUUAUAUUUUUGUAUUAUUAUUUAUAUUUUCAUUAGAAAAUGUACCAUGUUUUACUAUAGUAUCAAGUGUAAAACUAUGUAAAACUCGAGUUGCUGAAAUUUGCUUACGUCAUAAUCUUUAUUGAACGAAUAUACUUUAUUUGUAUUACAGCUUUGUUUUAUAAUUUUGUAUUAAGUUCGUUUUUCAUAUCAAAUACCACAGUAGAUUUAAAUAAUUAAACGAAUUAAACAUUACCUACCAUCCGAUUUGUAUUAGCGCGUGGAAAGUGAAAGAAGCCCAGUGAACUUCUGCUGCUGCUAAGCAACCAAACUUUACACAAGCUAACGACCGCGAGUAUGUACUGUGAUAUUUGUUUUUAACAAAUGAGUGAUCUGGAUGGAGCUCACUGUUUUAGGGUGCUGUGUUCGCACCCGUGCUGCUGGGACACUGAGCACAGAGGAAUCAGAGGAAUCACACGCCUCACUCCAGCACGCGUGAAGAGAUGCUCUCUCAAAGAACAGCUUUUUCCAUCUCUGAGUAUUGUCAAUGUCUCUGAAUGGGCUGGACGGAGGAGACCGAUUAAAGAAAGUGCUGACACAGAUGCUUCUUUGAAUGAUCUCACCAGACAGACAAAAGACACUGGAAAGAUUAAGAGAUCUUUCCUUCCCAGAAUCCACGCUGGCUAUUUCCAGCACGCCCACCGAUACACAAAACAAAAUAAAGUUAAAUACAGUUCACAUCAGUCCUUUCUUGGGCUGCUCUGAGUUGCCACAGUGUCCAGUGGUCACAUGGAUUCCCAACCCACACCACAAGCCUCAGUGGCUCCACCAAAACAAGUCUAAAUCUCCAAACAUCGCUAUAAAAGAGUUAAUCUGCCUUCCAUCUUGCCAAAUGUCCAAGUCAUCCAAAGCGGCUAACCUGCGGAAGAGGUAUGUUGGUAAAAGGAGGGAGCAGAGAGGCAACUCUACACUAGAGGGCGCUGGCACUCCACGGUGGGUAGGCAUUGGCUUUAACCCCAUCCCCAAACCCACCCCACAUCACCUCUCCCGCAGCAUUCCCUUCAAAGAUAGUGGGUGUGGAUCACUGGACCAAAAACUGCCAAGCCUAACCACACCACACCCAACCCAUAGUAGUGGUCUCAGUCCAGCCUUAAGCCUGAGUUUAGGAUCAGUGAGGUGCUGGAGAGGCAACUGAAACAGACCUUUACAUACUGAAGCCACACUUAGAUGACAAAAGUUUUUAACAGUAAAAAUGUGUAAAAUCUGUUCCAUAA